UGAUUCUUUGAUACGAAUGCAUUCUAUUCACUGCACCAUUUACUAUUUGAAAUGAAUGAGUGGAGGGGAAAAGAAUUGCUAGAUCAAAGUUCUUUUACUUCGUCGAAAUGUAUACCUCAUACUGAAUUAUGCUUUUGAGAAAGGAAUCUCUCUCAUUCAAGUGUAUAUAUUUGGAUCUUAAUAUUUCGACACAUUC
rnacentral:snoRNA from 1 species